rnacentral:rRNA from 1 species
GAUGAACGCUAGCGGGAGGCCUAAUACAUGCAAGUCGAGCGGUAGAAUGACUUCGGUUGUUUGAGAGCGGCGAACGGGUGAGUAACGCGUACACAAUCUACCUUUAAGAGGGGAAUAGCCCUGGGAAACUGGGAUUAAUGCCCCAUGGCAUCACGGGAUGGCAUCGUUUUGUGAUUAAAGCUGAGGUGCUUAAAAGAUGAGUGUGCGUCUGAUUAGCUAGUUGGUACGGUAACGGCGUACCAAGGCGACGAUCAGUAGGGGGCGUGAGAGCGUGGACCCCCCANACGGGUACUGAGACACGGACCCGACUCCUACGGGAGGCAGCAGUAAGGAAUAUUGGUCAAUGGAGGAAACUCUGAACCAGCCAUCCCGCGUGCAGGAAGAAUGCCCUAUGGGUUGUAAACUGCUUUUAUCU